GAUCCCUACAAAUAUAAUAAAUAACAAAUAUAUUUAUACAAAAUUUAAAUUUUAUAUAUUAUUUUUAUAAAAAUUUUAAUAUUUUUAAAUAUAUUUUUCUAUUAUCAUUAAAAAAUUAUUUAUAUUUUUAAUUUUGUCAUCAUAAAUAUGUCCAUUUUAAAAAUAUAACAAUAUAAUAUAAAAAUAGUAAAAAUGUCAAAAACUAAUUAGAGUGUAAUAUUUAAUCUAUGAUUAACUAAAAUUUUUUAAAAAUUAUAAAUGAUUGAAAUAUAUUUAAAAAUAUUAAAAUUUUUAUAAAAAUAAUAUAUAAAAAUUAAAUUUUAUAAAAAUAUAUUAUUAUUUAUUAUGUUUGUACGAAUUUGUAUAAAAUUAAUUUUAUAGUGGGUGAUUGAUGUAGAUUCGGGUCCACAUGGAGUGCAAGAAAAGAUGGGGGGAAUAAAGCGAAACUAGAUGAGCAACGGAGUUUGAAAAGAGUCCUGCGCUGCGCAGGAAGCAUCGAGGAAGCCGGCAAAAGCACGGCAGUGGAUUUCCUGUAAUCCACAGUACAAUAGUACUCUUCUGCAGAGUUUCAUUCGUGUUCGUAAGCGGCAUGCAUUUAUAGAUCAAACUAGGCUGGAAUAUUAUUAAUAGCAUCAAAGACUUAGUAUUGUUAAAUUUUUUAUUCUUAGAUAAAUUUUCUAUUCUUAGAUUAAAAAAUAUACAGUUAGAAUAAUGUGGGCUCCUUAGGAUUGAGUGGGUAGUUGGUUGAAUAGUAUAAUCGAAUGGAUAAAAAUAAUAAAAUAGCUAAAUCUAACGGCAGAAAACUUGAUAGCACUAAAUGCUUGGUGCUAUCGAUAGCAUAGCAGUCAGACUCUUUAUAAACUUUAAGUAUAAUAAAAGAUCGUCUCAUUAAAUAUAAUUAUAAAUAUAGUAUAGAUAAAGAUACAUGUAUGUUAUUUGAUUAGAUACAGCAAGAAAACAUCUCAACUAUAAAUAAUAAUUUGUUUGGUUACAUGCAAUUGAAAAAUAAUUCUUAAAAUUUUAUUAUUUUAUAUAUAUAUAUAUAUAUGAUGAUAAGAUUAUCUUAAUAUAUAUAAAUAAAAAAAUUUAUUUAAAAAAUAAUUAAAGAGAUAAAUAUAUUUUUUAUUUAUACUAAAUUUGUUUUUGUAUGCGAUUGUAACUGCACUCCAAACAGCCACUAAAUAUAUAAAUAUUAUUUCGGGCCGAUUUUUUGGAAUUGAUUAUUAGCGGUUUCGGCCCAUAGAUACUGUUCAAGCUGAUAAAAUAUUAUCAUGAAAAUAUAUUUUAUUUAGUUUCGUAAAUGAUAUAAGUAGAAUGUAGUGAUGAUUUUGUUGUUAAUCAUGCCAUUCCAUUAAUGCCCCGUUUGGAUUGGGAAUAACGGGUGGAAUAACCGCUUAUACCAUUAAUAUCCAAACGCUAAACUUUUAUCCUAGUUCUCGGGUAUCUAAAAUAAGUUGGUAUAACUAUUCCCACUAACACCUCCAUUUUCUAUAUAUAAACUAUCUAUUAUUUUUCUUAUUUCAUAUUAUCUAUCCAAAGCUAUUUUUCUUAUCCUCGAGAACAACUCAAUUUUCAUCCAAACGUUAUUUUUUUUAUCCCCAUAUUUAUAUCUAUCCCUAUAAUAGCUAGUUCUUGCUUAUAUCCGAACCAAACAGUCUGUUAAAGAACGUUAGAGUUCAUUUUCACAUAUUUGCCUUAAUUCUAUAUAUAUAUAUAUAUAUAUUCUCUCUCUCUCUCUCUCUCUCUCUCUCUCUCUCUAUAUAUAUAUAGAGUUGAGCUAGAAUACUAUCAGUAGUAAACGAGCCGUUUUACUACCUAUUUGUUUUUGAUGAUAAAGCUUCCAAAUUGACGAUCGUCUCCGUUAAAUAUGAUCUAAACCAUUUAAACUAUCUAGAAAUCAAAUUUCACGCACUUUCGAUAUUGUUCUUUUAUCCAUCAAGUGAACAGAAAAAUGAAUGACUGAAAAUGAUAUUCUUUAAAAAAUAAUGAUAGGAGUCUUAUAAUCAAGAUCACGAGUAUAGAUCUUGUUUUAAAUAGUUUAAAGAAUUUUCUAACAAAAAUUCAAUUCAUUUUGAUAUCUUUACGCCGUUAAACGAGAAAACGCCUCUUAUCGACCAUUAAAAUUAUAAAUUUUGAAACCCUUUGAUCAUUAGGCAAAUGAUGUCGAAAAGAUUUGAAAUUUGAUUUCUAAAUACUUCAAGUGGUAUAAAUCAUGUUCAACGGAGCCGAUCGUCAAUUUGGAAGCUCUAUCAUCGAAAACAAAUAGAUGGCAACGGAGUCCGUUUGCUACUAAUAACAUUCCAGCUCAACUCUCUCUCUCUCUCUCUCUCUCUCUCUCUCUCUCUAUAUAUAUAUAUAUAUAUAUAUCUAUAUAUAUAGAGGGGAGCUAGAAUACUUUUACAAGUAUCACCUGGGUGGUGCUUUAGUGUUUUUAGUCCUUGGAUGGAGAGAUGUGAGGUUGAGAUGAUGGUGGUAGGUGGUGGUAGGUAGAAUAGUAUUUGACCCAAGAACUAUUAGUAAUUAAGAAGUAGAUCCAAUGGCUAAAAACCUAAUAGCACCAUGGGGGUGAUACUUAUAAAAGUAUCCUAUCUCAACUCUCUCUAUAUAUAUAUAGAGAGAGUGGAGCUGGAAUACUAUCGGUAGCAAACGGGCUCCAUUGCCACCCAUUUGUUUUCGAUGAUGGAGCCUCCAAAUCGACGAUCGGUACCGUUGAAAAUGAUCUAUACCACUUGAAGUAUCUAGAAAUCAAAUUUCAUAUUUUUCCGAUAUUGUUCUCUCGUUCAUCAAGUGGGCGUAAAAAUGAACGGCUGAAAAUGAAUAUCCUCUAAAAAGUGAUAAUAGGAAUUUUGUAAUCAAGAUCGAGAGUGUAGAUCUUGUUCUAAAUAGUUUAAAAAAUUUUCUAACCAAAAUUCAAUUGAUUUAGAUAGUUUUACACCGUUAAAUGAGAAAACACCUCAUAUCGACCAUUAAAAUUACAAAUUUUGAAACCCUUUGAUCAUUAGGUCAAUGAUAUCAAAAAUAUUUGAAAUUUAAUUUCUAAAUAUUUCAAGUGAUAUAGAUCAUGUUCAACGGUGCCGAUCGUCGAUUUGAGGGCUCCAUCAUCGAAAACAAAUAGAUGGCAACGGAGUCCGUUUGCUACUAAUAACAUUCCAGCUCAACUCUCUCUCUCUCUCUCUCUCUCUCUCUCUCUCUCUAUAUAUAUAUAUAUAUAUAUAAAAC
rnacentral:lncRNA from 1 species